rnacentral:rRNA from 1 species
CCUACGGGAGGGCAGCAGUGGGGAAUAUUGGACAAUGGGCGAAAGCCUGAUCCAGCCAUGCCGCGUGUGUGAAGAAGGCCUUCGGGUUGUAAAGCACUUUCAGUGGGGAAGAAAGCCUUGGGGCUAAUACCCUCGAGGAAGGACAUCACCCACAGAAGAAGCACCGGCUAACUCCGUGCCAGCAGCCGCGGUAAUACGGAGGGUGCGAGCGUUAAUCGGAAUUACUGGGCGUAAAGCGCGCGUAGGCGGUCUGAUAAGCCGGUUGUGAAAGCCCCGGGCUCAACCUGGGAACGGCAUCCGGAACUGUCAGGCUAGAGUGCAGGAGAGGAAGGUAGAAUUCCCGGUGUAGCGGUGAAAUGCGUAGAGAUCGGGAGGAAUACCAGUGGCGAAGGCGGCCUUCUGGACUGACACUGACGCUGAGGUGCGAAAGCGUGGGUAGCAAACAGGAUUAGAUACCCGUGUAGUC